CAAUAGCGUAUAUUAAAGUUGUUGCGGUAAAAAAGCUCGUAGUUGGAUUUCUACCGAAGAUAGCCGGUCGGGUCUUCGACCUUGUAUCUGGUUUUGUCUUUGGUAUCCUCAUAGGGAACGUUUCUGCGCUUUAUUGCGUGGUGCGGUAUCUAUGACUUUUACUUUUAGGAAAUUAGAGUGUUCACGGCAGGCAAACGCCUUGAAUAUAUUAGCAUGGAAUAAUAACAUAGGAUCUUCGUCCUAUUUUGUUGGUUUCUAGGGCUAAGAUAAUGAUUAAUAGGGAUAAUUGGGGGCAUCUGUAUCAACGCGUCAGAGGUGGAAUUCUUGGAUUGCGUUGCGACAAACUACUGCGAAAGCAUUUGCCAAGGAUGUUUUCAUUGA
rnacentral:rRNA from 1 species